rnacentral:rRNA from 1 species
UACGGAGGAUGCGAGCGUUAUCCGGAUUUAUUGGGUUUAAAGGGUGCGUAGGCGGGCCGGUAAGUCAGCGGUAAAAUAGCGGGGCUCAACCCCGUCGAGCCGUUGAAACUGCCGGUCUUGAGUGGGCGAGAAGUGCGCGGAAUGCGUGGUGUAGCGGUGAAAUGCAUAGAUAUCACGCAGAACCCCGAUUGCGAAGGCAGCGCACCGGCGCCCGACUGACGCUGAAGCACGAAAGCGUGGGGAUCGAACAGG